UGUUGUAUUGGCAUGGGGUGGUGGUUGGACUAGAUGAUCUUAUUGGUCUUUCUUUCCAGUCCUAGUAAGUCUUUCAUUCUGUGAUUUGUAGAUGUGGAGCGCCAUCUGCUGCGGGCAAUGCACCGAGCGACCCUUCAACAUCUGUUACAUCGUCAUCAUAACUGCACUGACGGAAAACAGAUCUCAUAUUCUUCAGUGUAUAAUGAAAAGGUACCUACCCAGUGCCACUCGUGCAGCAGAAGCAUCGUAAUUGAUCCAGAAGGACACCCAGGACAGAAUGGUGAUGAGGAUAGAUGGCAUGUUUUACAGACUCAUCAGAGGAGAAGGUCUCUUCAGAGUCUGCUCAGUUAGCUCAGAAUAUUAGGAAGAAAGGAAUCUCUACACAAGUUACAGUAUUAUAUCAGACAUCAUGGGAGAACCUCCGUUCAGUACUCAGUUGAAACUGCUGUUAUGGUAUGUGCCAAUAAGAUGUGGGCUUGCACAGGAGACUUCAACCCUAUAUCUGGAUGCAAUAAGAUCAUUUUCCAUUGUUUCAUGUGUUAGUUUUUCCUCCAAACAGCAAUGAAGAUAUGAAUAGUAUUUUUCCCAUGCUGUUCUAAAACUGGGUUAU